rnacentral:lncRNA from 1 species
GGGCACAUACCUUUUGUUAGGAUGAAAGACAUCCCUCAUAUACCAUGCAAAUUUUCAACUAAGCAACCUUUCAUAUGUACUGUUUGCCCAUUAGCCAGGCAAUCUAGAUUUCCUUUUCCUGACAGUUCCAUUAAGACAACACAUGCUUUUCAACUCAUCCAUGUGGAUACCUGGGGUCUUUAUGCCACUCCCACUCAUAAUGGAUGUAAUAUUUCCUAACAAUAGUUGAUGACUUUACUAGAGCUACUUGGACUCACCUUAUGGAGUCCAAGAGCAAUGCCUUUCCCCUUAUCAAAGCUUUCAUUGCCAUGAUCAAAACCCAAUUCUAGUCUGUUG